CCUACGGGUGGCAGCAGUGGGGAAUAUUGGACAAUGGGCGAAAGCCUGAUCCAGCCAUGCCGCGUGUGUGAAGAAGGCCUUCGGGUUGUAAAGCACUUUCAGUGGGGAAGAAAGCCUUGGGGCUAAUACCCUCGAGGAAGGACAUCACCCACAGAAGAAGCACCGGCUAACUCCGUGCCAGCAGCCGCGGUAAUACGGAGGGUGCGAGCGUUAAUCGGAAUUACUGGGCGUAAAGCGCGCGUAGGCGGUCUGAUAAGCCGGUUGUGAAAGCCCCGGGCUCAACCUGGGAACUGCAUCCGGAACUGUCAGGCUAGAGUGCAGGAGAGGAAGGUAGAAUUCCCGGUGUAGCGGUGAAAUGCGUAGAGAUCGGGAGGAAUACCAGUGGCGAAGGCGGCCUUCUGGACUGAUACUGACGCUGAGGUGCGAAAGCGUGGGUAGCAAACAGGAUUACAUACCCGAGUAGUC
rnacentral:rRNA from 1 species